AGAAGGUAGGUGGCCCAUUAAAUGGUUUGCACAGCUUGGCCCUGGUACACCAUUUGCAAAUACAUCAAGUGUUCACGUUGCUACCCAGAAUGGGGUGCUGGAGGAACACGGCCUAGGAGUGAAGGUGGCCACUCCUGGAUUCUGCCUGCUCCGCCUGUCUGGAUCAGACACAGCAUGCCCACGAACUCCCAAGCCUGAAAUGCCUGUUCCUAGAGCUGCUGCCAGACUAACUUCUGCCUGUUCUUCAAGAAACCUUGAAGGGCUGAGUCUCCUCUCCGCGCUUUCUUCCCAGCCCCGGGUCCCAGCCUCCCACCUCCUGCACCAGGUUCGCAUGUCUGGCCCCAUGAAUCACUUCCUGUGGCAGUCUGCACGCUUGGAGGCGGGAUUUUCUUUCUUCUUUUUUCUUCCCUGGAGAAGAUUCUCACAGACUUUCAGGGAAUCCAUGAUCCCAAAACAAUCGAGGACUCCAAAUGCGAAACUCAGCUCUUGAUGCAACUGCACAAAUAAACUCAGGCCACGAGGAAUGGCAGGAGCAGCCAACCAGGGCAUUUCCCACCUCCACACACCCAGCUGUGGGGCCAGAACCACCACCAAGAGAGCCCAGCUGUCCAGCCCAGGCCAGAGGGCAGAACCACUCAUGCACCUGGGCCUGGGUCCUCUGGUGACAGUGGAAGGGGAUGUUAAACAGGAUGACAACUGCGAGCCAUCACUGAAUUCUCCAGCAGGCUGCUGGGCAGGGCAGAGGGCAGAGGGAGGGCCCGAGCCCCACUCGCCUGGCAGGGAGGGAGGCUCUGCUGGGGCUGCCCUCCUCUUACCCUACCCAGGUCCUCCCUGCUCAACCAGGUGGCCAUGUGGUGCGUCAGAUGGGACCUAGCCCCUAAGUCACCCCAGCCAGGGAUGACUCUGGUGUUCUGUGCACCAGGCAGGAGGAGCCAGAGAUGGAAUAGGGCCCCUCAUCUCCAAGCACCAGACUUGGCCCCCACACCCCUGAAGAAAUCUGAACCCCACAAGGUGGCUGCUGACUCUUCCUGUAGAAGGUCCUACUCAAUGUCCCCUAACACCUCAGAGUAUUAGCUGCUUAAAAGGAGAUGUCCACAGUGAACAACAAAGACAGGGAUGGUGGUCAGGCCUGAUUCGAGCUUCUGUCUAAGUGUCUGAGAGAAAGAUGCCCCCAUGCCAGACAAGCCCUCCUAGGACUGUGCUGAUUCCCCCUGGUGCCAGGGAACAGCCCCCGUCAGCCCUUCACUCCCCACUCCAGGCCUCAACUCCACUGACCAGCUGGUGGCCCUGUCCACACACUGUAGGCCAGAACAUGGCCCAGAGACCAGGAUUUGACUGUGUGUGGGACAGGGGCACUCACUCAGCAGGGGAGUGCUUCAUCAGUCUGGCUGUUUUUAUUGAGGGCCUACUAUGGCAAGGCACAUGGUAGGUGCUUCUGUCUUCCCUACUUCCUCUGCAAGUGAUCAGACUGCAGACCCAUCCUGGAACCAUUUAAAAAUCUGUGUGCAGGGCUGGG